GACGAACGCUGGCGGCGUGCCUAAUACAUGCAAGUAGAGCGAAGCGGCGGAUGGGUGAGUCACGCGUGGGUAACCUGCCCUUAAGUCUGGGAUACCAUUUGGAAACAGAUGCUAAUACCGGAUACUAAAGGUUGGCCCUGAGUUGAAUUAGCAACUUGGUAAGGUAACGGCUUACAAAGGCGAUGAUGAAUAGCCGAGUUGAGAGACUGAUCGGCCACAUUGGGACGGAGAAACGGCCCAAACUCCUACGGGAGGCAGCAGUAGGGAAUCUUCCACAAGGGACGAAAGUCGGAUGGAGCAACGCCGCGUGAGUGAAGAAGGUUUUCGGAUGGUAAAGCUCUGUUGUUGGUGAAGCGGUAAUCAACCAGAAAGUCACGGCUAACUACGUGCCAGCAGCCGCGGUAAUAC
rnacentral:rRNA from 1 species